rnacentral:rRNA from 1 species
GCCUACGGGAGGCAGCAGUGGGGAAUCUUAGACAAUGGGCGCAAGCCUGAUCCAGCAAUGCCGCGUGAGUGAAGAAGGCCUUAGGGUUGUAAAGCUCUUUCGGCGGGGACGAUGAUGACGGUACCCGCAGAAGAAGCCCCGGCUAACUCCGUGCCAGCAGCCGCGGUC